UACGUAGGGGGCAAGCGUUGUCCGGAAUCAUUGGGCGUAAAGAGCGUGUAGGCGGCUUGGUAAGUCCGCUGUGAAAGUCCAGGGCUCAACCCUGGAAAGCCGGUGGAGACUGUCAAGCUCGAGUCCGGAAGAGGCGAGUGGAAUUCCUGGUGUAGCGGUGAAAUGCGCAGAUAUCAGGAGGAACACCGGUGGCGAAGGCGGGUCUCUGGGCCGAUACUGACGCUGAGGAGCGAAAGCGUGGGGAGCGAACAGG
rnacentral:rRNA from 1 species